rnacentral:rRNA from 1 species
AGAGUUUGAUCAUGGCUCAGAUUGAACGCUGGCGGCAGGCCUAACACAUGCAAGUCGAGCGGAUGAAGAGAGCUUGCUCUCUGAUUCAGCGGCGGACGGGUGAGUAAUGCCUAGGAAUCUGCCUGGUAGUGGGGGACAACGUCUCGAAAGGGACGCUAAUACCGCAUACGUCCUACGGGAGAAAGCAGGGGACCUUCGGGCCUUGCGCUAUCAGAUGAGCCUAGGUCGGAUUAGCUAGUUGGUGAGGUAAUGGCUCACCAAGGCGACGAUCCGUAACUGGUCUGAGAGGAUGAUCAGUCACACUGGAACUGAGACACGGUCCAGACUCCUACGGGAGGCAGCAGUGGGGAAUAUUGGACAAUGGGCGAAAGCCUGAUCCAGCCAUGCCGCGUGUGUGAAGAAGGUCUUCGGAUUGUAAAGCACUUUAAGUUGGGAGGAAGGGUUGUAGAUUAAUACUCUGCAAUUUUGACGUUACCGACAGAAUAAGCACCGGCUAACUCUGUGCCAGCAGCCGCGGUAAUACAGAGGGUGCAAGCGUUAAUCGGAAUUACUGGGCGUAAAGCGCGCGUAGGUGGUUUGUUAAGUUGGAUGUGAAAGCCCCGGGCUCAACCUGGGAACUGCAUUCAAAACUGACAAGCUAGAGUAUGGUAGAGGGUGGUGGAAUUUCCUGUGUAGCGGUGAAAUGCGUAGAUAUAGGAAGGAACACCAGUGGCGAANGCGACCACCUGGACUGAUACUGACACUGAGGUGCGAAGCGUGGGGAGCAAACAGGAUUAGAUACCUUGGUAGUCCACGCCGUAAACGAUGUCAACUAGCCGUUGGGAGCCUUGAGCUCUUAGUGGCGCAGCUAACGCGUUAAGUUGACCG